CCCCCGGUGGNAANNUAGCAUAUCAAUAAGCGGAGGNNAAGAAACCAACAGGGAAUUGCCCCAGUAACGGCGAGUGAAGCGGCAACAGCUCAAAUUUGAAAUCUGGCCCCUUACGGGUCCGAGUUGUAAUUUUGUAGAGGAUGCUUUUUGGCAAGGCGCCGCCCGAGUUCCCUGGAACGGGACGCCACAGAGGGUGAGAGCCCCGUCUGGCUGGCCGCCGAGCCUCUGUAAAGCUCCUUCGACGAGUCGAGUAGUUUGGGAAUGCUGCUCAAAAUGGGAGGUAUAUGUCUUCUAAAGCUAAAUAUUGGCCAGAGACCGAUAGCGCACAAGUAGAGUGAUCGAAAGAUGAAAAGCACCUUGAAAAGAGGGUUAAAUAGUACGUGAAAUUGUUGAAAGGGAAGCGCUUGUGACCAGACUUGGGCGCGGCGGAUCAUCCGGGGUUCUCCCCGGUGCACUUCGCCGCGUCCAGGCCAGCAUCAGUUCGUCGCGGGGGAAAAAGGCUUCGGGAACGUGGCUCCCUCGGGAGUGUUAUAGCCCGUUGCGUAAUACCCUGCGGUGGACUGAGGACCGCGCAUCUGCAAGGAUGCUGGCGUAAUGGUCACCAGCGACCCGUCUUGAAACACGGACCAAGGAGUCGUCUUCGUAUGCGAGUGUUCGGGUGUCAAACCCCUACGCGUAAUGAAAGUGAACGCAGGUGAGAGCUUCGGCGCAUCAUCGACCGAUCCUGAUGUUCUCGGAUGGAUUUGAGUAAGAGCAUACGGGGCCGGACCCGAAAGAAGGUGAACUAUGCCUGUAUAGGGUGAAGCCAGAGGGAAAACUCUNNUGGAGGCUCNCAGCGNUUCUANA
rnacentral:rRNA from 1 species